AUUGCUUGUAAAAUUCACAUGUUCCUUCUCUUUUCUCUUCCAAGUUCUAGCUAAACUACUUCUAUUGAAAACAUGGAUUGAUUUGAUCAUUUGAUGACCCUUUCCAAUACUCUUACUGUUAAAGGUAAAUUGUUCAUCAAUUUUAUUGUUUUAUGUACUGUUUUGUUCUUCCAAGUUUCAAGUUCAUCACAAUUCACACCCCUUUUGCCUCUCUUUUUUUCAUGUGUUAUACUUGCUGAUUUUUGUUUUUGAUGCUAAACUUUAUGUGUAAUUCAAAUUAAAAUAUGUUGCGUUUUGUUUCAUGUUAUGUGACCAAAAGGUCACGGUUGAAGUUACCAUGUUAAUUACAAGGCAAGAAACUUUAUAUUUAAAUCAAAGUGGAGGUAUCUUUCUUCUUUGCCAUUAUAUGUGUUUAGUUUUGUGGGAGACAAUGGAAUGGUUUUUCUUGCCUUUGAUAUCAAGAGAUAUUUCUUUCUCCUUUAUGUCUGAUGAAUUAAGAAAAAGUCAUCUUCUCAUCAUUCCCUUCAAUUCAAUUUGUCUCACAUUCUAAGGAUACUAUUAAGACCUCUGAGAAUUAUAUUAUAGGGUAGUAUAUGUUUAUAAGUGAAAUACAAUUUUCAUUUUAUAAAUCGGUUUUAUAGGAUUGAGUUAGUCUCACUCACAAUUUUUAAAAUGAUAUCAGAGUCUAUUCAAGAUCUAUUGGACUACCUACUAGACCGCUACCAGGUUGUUUCCAAUAUCAGUUCACCUGUCUUGAGGUUUCACAGCGAUGUAACUUGGAAGACAAGUUUCAAAUUGCUUUUAUAUUAUGUUCAAAUCAGAAGACAGUUUUAGUGCAGGUUUGGAUUCACUUUAGAGUUUCGACACGAUUAAGUUAAAAUCGGUAUACAGAUGGUCAAUUACACCUACAAGUAAUCAAGAGAAUGAUAUUUGAUUAUAUCAGAAUGUACUAACUUCUAAAUAUUGUUCUGUUAGGUACAAUACUACAAAUGUAAGAACUCAUAAUCAUUUCCAUUCACAAAUAUAUGUGCUUUUUUUGUUUAAUUUACAUGUUUUUUUUUUAAACAAUACACUUGUGGUAUAUAUUUAACAGCAUGAUAUAAAUAUGUACAAGGAAAUAAGGAAAAAAAAUACAAUUGAGCAAAAGAAUUAAGUUCAUCAAAGCAAAUCCUUCACAUUUUCACAACAAUUUCAAAUAAUCUAUUUCUUUGGUAUAUUUAAUAAGACAAAUCCUUCUUGUUCUUCUUCGAAGUUGCAAGAUCUUCAAUAUCCUUUCCAUGCUCCAAGAACUUCGGCGAAGACUUCAGAAAUGAGAUCCCUGUCUGCAUUUUGGAGGAACGUAUUGAAA
rnacentral:lncRNA from 1 species